CUCUCUGUUCCUGCCAGCCGAUGGGCUUUGCCCCAGCAUACCUUCAUCAAGGCUCCAGAUCUACGGAGCUAGCGACCAACCCUAGAGACAAGAAAGAAAGGACUUCCAGAGCUGCCGUUUCUCAGAGCCACCGCUUGGAGCACCUCUGCUCUCUAUUCCAGUAGAGUCAGGACGGAACCUGGGACGUUCCAUUCCCAGCGUCUAUAAAGAAAAGUGUGUUCUCAAGUCUUUCUCCAAAGCUGUGGUGUGAGAUCAUCCGGGAACCCCCAAUCCAUGGAGAAAAUUGCUAACUGGAAGAAGUGCCCUUCCUUAUACCACACUGAGGCCAAACUCAGUUUCCUCAUCUGUAAAAUGGGAUCAGCAAUACUUUACUCGUAUGGUUUCUGUGAGGAUUAGAUGAAACACGGCCAAGCCAUGUCACUACUGAUGAAAUACAGGAGUCUACAUUCCAAGUGCCUCUCUGAGAGAACCCACGGCCAGCUGUAAGCUGUGCGUGAACAUCUGCGGGCCUACUGCCCUCCCAGGGCAGGCUUUGCUGGGCCCUCCGGCUCCUCCUCCAGUCAGCCACCCAAAUAACCUGUAGUGAUUAUUAUCGCCCCUCUCAACCCCUUCCUCUCCUCUCUCUGUUGCUGCGGAGGCUCCCUGAGUUCACUGACCCUGGGGAUGAACCACGCGGAAGAGCGAGCACUGCCUGUCUGGUCAUAUUGCAUCCAUGUUUAUUGUUGAAAAUCCAGCCCCGGUCAGUUGGUUAGAGUGCCAUCCCAAUACGCCAAAGUUGUAGGUUUGAUCCCUGGUCAGGGCACAUACAAGGAUCAGCCAAUAAAUGCGUCGGUGUUAUAGCAUAAUUCACUUAAAUAACCUCCUGUGAUGGACAUUUGGAGUAUCUCUGAUGUUUAAGUUUGAUAAGCAGCAGUCCUCGUAGGAGCAUCUGUGUGCUUCUAGUAUGGAGAGUGAGGGUAAGAGAGAGCACGCUUGUGGAUGCGGAAGGACUUCUGCACCAAUCUUGGAAUCUCCUUUACACCCGGAUUCAUUUUGGCCACUGACACCUGUGGAGAAAAACUGGAAUCAACAGGACACUUAUGUGGAACAUGCCCGUGUGGUCAGGGAAUUUCGAGGUGAUGAGGAAGCCUGUGAUGCGUGCCAGCCACAGCGUUGCCGGGCCUGCUGGCAGUGGCCUGGCUCUGCUGCCUGGGAGCCGCAGUAGGCUCAGCCUCAGGCCGCUCAGUUUUCUGAUACAUGGAAUGAGGCUAACAAUACCUGCUGAUUUACUUCGCAGUGUCUGUGAGAAGUAACAAAUGUGAAAAUGCUGUCCAGAUGGUGACAUUCAAUACAAGUAUAAGGAAUAAAGGUGAUGUGAAUUUUGACAUAACAAGACUGCACAAACAGUGGUGAAGGAGGGGAGUCAGCCCAAGAUUCCUUCGUUUUUAUCUCACUGAUUCAUCUCAUAACAUUGAGGGAAUGACUCUAUUGCAUUUCCCUUGGUGGACUAUGAGAACACACUUUUGCCAGAUAUGGAGGGGAGGAUGAGCCUUCCGAACUCCCUCCCGUUUCUGCCCUGGAGGUAAGCCAAGCUGUAUCUCCAAAGGAGGUUACUGACCCAAGACGAGCCAGGCUCACUUCAGUCUGCCUUAGCUCUUGCUGCUGCUCCUCUGAAAUGCUCAGCAAAAUGAUGUGAGGUUGUUAUGGCUGCUGCCCCACCCUUGGGAGCAUGCCCAGGGGAUGUGGACCGCCCCCGGGCAGCCCACAGGAAGCUGGACCAGAAAGUGCAGAGUCACUGUGCACCCGAGCGCCAGCAUGCAGGUCUUUUCUCCACCGCAGACAUUUCCAGGGAGCUCUUACAGAUGUCCACUGCGUGACAUUUGGGACAUUUGAGAAAAUGUUUUGUUAGUCUUUUCGUCACCAUUAGGAAGAAGAUAAGAUGACAUUUAUCCAAUUGGAACUGGAUGAAAUUGGUAGAAAUUAGGAAUGGAAUAUAGACCCAGGGCCUAAAAUUAUUCUGACUGUAGCCAAGUAAAAACAUUAAAAUAUGAAGAUAGUAUUUAAGAUAUUUGUGGGCAACAUUUUAGGUUUUUGCCCCUCUCUUCUACCUAGAUUUGAGUAUGGGAAGAAUUAAAGAAUUCUGUAAAAAGCUGUAAAACAGGAUCUGCCAAACUGGUAAAUAACAGUAUUCACUUCACCAAAAUGUUUUAAUUUUUGUAAUGUCUCCAAAACAUCAGUUCUCAAAUUUCUUGGUCUCAAAACCUCUUUAAAUUAAUAAAUUAUUUAGGACCUCAAAGGGCUUUAGUUUAUGAGAAUUAUAUCAAUAAAUAUUUACUGUAUUAAAAAUUAAACCUGAGAAGUUCUAAAAAUAUUUACUCAUUCAUUCAAAGCUAACAAAAAUAAACCCAUUACCUGUCAACAUCAGAGCAGUCUCGUCACGUGAUUUGCUGCUGAACACCUCAGCGGAGCACUCACGUGGGAAUGAAAACGAGGAAGGCAAACAACUUCCUAGUAUUUGCUUUUUGACAACCACUGAAAACUUACGCUCGAAAUAUUCUGAUCUUUCUUAAAAAGCAUCAAAUCCAUAUAAGGAACUAUAGAGUAUUGUUUUGUUUUUUAAAAUAUAUUUGCAUUGUUAAGACUGUGGGCAAUGAGUUUAAGUCUUCGCCCUGCCACUACCCGAGUGAACGGUGUUGGACAAGUUAUUUAGUCUUCCCAGAUUCAGUAUUGUCUUCUGUAGAAUUAAAAUGCUGAAAUUACCUGCCCCUUGGGGUUGCUGUAAUGAGCAAAUGACUUUAUACAUAUGUUUUAAUCACAGUGCCUUAGAGAACCAGAGUAGAAUGUACAUAUAUACAUACAUAUAAUAUUAAUGUGUAAAUGUUAUAUAAUAAAAUUUAUAUACAUAUGCAUAUAUGUAUGUGCUAUAUCUAUAUACAUAUGUGUGUAUGUAUACACAUGUGUGUGAGUAAAGAGAGAAAGGGAGACAGACAGAGAAGGGAGGGAGAGGGAGAGAGAAGCGAAAGAUUUAUUUUUAAGGAAUUGGUUCACAUGAUUAUGGAGGCUGGAAAGGUUGAAAUCUGAAAGGGUGAGUCAGCAGGCUGGAGACCCAAGGAAGAGCCAGUGUGGCAGACCAAGUCUGAAGGCCAUUGUAUGGCUGGAUUCCAUCUUACUAAAGGGAGGUCAGUCUUUUGUCUUAAUCAAACCUUCAACUGAUGGGAUAGACCCACUCACACUAUGAAAGGAAAUCUGCUUUACUCAAAGUCCACAACUUUAAAUGUUCAUUUCAUCCAAAAACACCCUUACAGAAACAUCCACAGUAGCGUUUGAUCACACAGGUGGCCACUGUGGCCCAGCCAAGUUGGCACGUGAAAUUAACCACUGCAUCAUAUAAAGUACCUUGAGUACUAUCUGACAUAUGCAAACUCUCAACAAAUGUUAGUGAUUAUGGAUUGUUAGUAUUGUGUUAAAUUUGUUUGUUUUUAAAUAUUGUUGUAUGAAAAAUCAAGUGAUGUUGGGUUGGCCAAGUCAUUCAUUUAGUUUUUUUCCCAUAUGAUGGCUCUAGAAAUGCUCAGUUAUCUUUAACUUUGUUCAAAACAAUUUUGUUAGAUUGUAUUGUGAUAGCUGUCAUGUCAGCGUGCAUUUUAAAAACCAUCAAAAUUGGUGGAUGUUUGUGCAGCCAUUUUAAUGGAAUAAAUUGAAGAUGAAAUAUAAUGUGCCACAUUUUCAGCAUAUUAUACUUAUUAUUUCAAGAAAGGUAAUGCAACUGAAAUGCAAAAAAAGAUUUGUUCAGUGUAUGAAGAAGGUGCUGUAACUGACUGAUAGAACAAAACAGAAGUGGUUUGCAAUGUUUCUUGUUACUAUGGGAAUGUUUUGGCCAAAUAAUUCUUUGUUUGGGUCUGUCUUAUGCAUUGGAACAUGUUUAGCAGCACCCCUGGCCUCUACCCAAUAGCAGGAAAUAGCCAGUAUACUCAAAAUAUCCAAAUCAAUGAAGUUAUUGGUGAAAAUGAAAACGGUCUCUUUCAUUUUACAAAAAACUAAACAGACUUUUUGGCCUACCCCUAGAUAAAAAUUUUAUACCUGUAAAGAUAAACUGAACCCAUGUGAGUAUAUAUAUACAUGACUUUAUUAUGAGAAUAUGCAGUAGGCCCUCAAAUAAUGUUUUGUUCAACACUGUUUCCUUAAAAGGUUCAUGAGAUGCUGUAGGAAUAAUUCUUGUGUAUAUCAAUUAACCUAUGGUAAAAUUGGUUUCCUUACCUGACAUUUCAUUAAAGUCGUAGAACCUAUCAAUGACACUGAGUGAGGGCUUACUAUAUAUAUAAAGAUAUGUAUGUAUAUGUCUUUAAAAGUUUUGGGAAAAAAUAAUAAAGGUUAACUUUGCUUCUCAUACAUAAAAAUAUUCAUAUUAUGUCAUAUGGAAAAAGUUUUAGGCAGAUCAAUGGAAAACUAUAUGUAGUCCCCCAAAUAGAUUUUAAUAUAUAUUGAUAUAUGAUAUAUAAAUUGUCAUCACAAAUCAUUGUGCAAGUUGAGUCAGUUACUCAGUAAACACCAGUAAUAAAAGUUUUCUUAUGAAUCUCUUUAUAUCAUUACUGCAAAUGCAAAAUAAAUUCCAAUAGGAUUUCAAAAUAAAAUGUAAGAAAAUGCACAAAAUAUACAAAGAUAAUCUAUAGAUUUAGCUAUAAAAAUCUUUAAAUCAAUAUUUAGCUUAUCUCUGGGUAAGAAGGGCUGUCUUAGCUUAGUAAGCAUUGGAGAAUUUAUAAAACAUCACUAUAUUGGUUACAUUAAAAUCACCAAUGUUAAAAAUAAUGAAUUGAGAAAACAUAUCUACACAGAUAUAACAUAUAAUGGUUAGUAUAUUUAAAAUAUAAUGUGCUUGUACAAAUUCAUAAGAGCAAUCUAAGACUCCAGUAAAAAAAUGAUAAAGGUAUUAUAGUGAUCUCUCUGCAUCCUUGGAGUCAGAAGGAUGAAAGAGGUACAGGUCACUUAAUAUAAUGACAAUUUAUGUGGGGUUCCUGGGAAGUUAUGCAAAAGGAAAAUUUUCAGUCAGCUGCAUCUCCACCAAUCACCUAGACCAGAAUGGAGGGUUGACUUCAGGGCAACACUGAAAAUGGUUUGGUUAGAGAAGAAAGCCUCUUUGUUUACCCUGCACUUGUACUUCAUAAAAAACUUGAUUAGAUGGUUUGGUAACACUGGAUGGGUUGAAGAAAUUGAUUGAUGGGUGUCUAUUUUGAAGAAGCUUUGUAGCGUCAAUAAAUAAA